UCCAUAAUGUAGACAAAUAGCAACAAGAAAAGGCAAAUGUGUGAUGAAAGAUGAAAAACUUCCUAAACCAAAUGUGAAUUUGGUUGAAAGGGAUGAUAUGAUUGAUGCGUUCAUUUCUGAAAAACUUUGACACUAAAUGAGGUGCUUCUUGUACCCACUAUAAGAGCAAAUUUAACGUUUGUGGCAUUGUUGGGCAAGGUGUCUUUUGAAUAAUACGACAUAAUCAUGACUAAAAAUAUUUUUUUUGGGUUAGGGCUAUUGAGACGAGGGUCUCUUUGUACUUCAGGUUUCUAAAGAUCGAUAUCAAUAAUAUUGCAUCAUCUUAUGCUUAUAUGGUUUAUUCUUCUGAGAUAUGGCACGCUAAACUGGGAAAAUAGAUUAGGACAUGGGAAUGCAUCCUAUCUUUUAUGAAAAUGAAAACUCUAGGGUUUAUAUCUAACAUUGAUGCCACAUGUUCUAG
rnacentral:lncRNA from 1 species